rnacentral:rRNA from 1 species
UACGGAGGAUCCGAGCGUUAUCCGGAUUUAUUGGGUUUAAAGGGAGCGUAGGCGGGUUGUUAAGUCAGUUGUGAAAGUUUGCGGCUCAACCGUAAAAUUGCAGUUGAUACUGGCAUCCUUGAGUACAGUAGAGGUAGGCGGAAUUCAUGGUGUAGCGGUGAAAUGCUUAGAUAUCACGAAGAACUCCGAUUGCGAAGGCAGCCUGCUGGACUGUAACUGACGCUGAUGCUCGAAAGUGUGGGUAUCAAACAGG